rnacentral:lncRNA from 1 species
UAAGACUGAAGUUGUCCUUGCCUUCAAGCAACUUGCAAUUGCCUAAGAACACAGUUUAAAACCACAAAACUAAGCCUUGGAAAUCACAUGCUGUCAUUUCUGCGAUCGGUCAUAACCAGUCCUGAUUCCAUGUUAGAGGAGACUACAUAAGGACACAGGUACCAGAAGAUGAAAAAUUUGGAGUCUAGUGAAAAGAAGUGACUUGCUCAAAAUCACACAGCACAUGAAGAACAGAGCCUCUAUGAUGAAUUUCUUGACAGCUGAUAUAAGUCUUUUGAGGUACAGCCUGGCACAAAAAGGAUGAGAUUUGUGGGCAGAAUUUUGGAAGAAUAUCUCCCGAGAGAACAUUCAGGACAGAUUGCACUGCUUUGGAGAGCUGGUGAUGAAAUCCGGCCAUUGAAUUACACUGCACUAUAAACUUCAUUUGUUCUUGGGUGCAUAGUGAUUUGCUAUAAUAAUGAUCAUCCAUUUGCCAGACAGCUGAGAUUUUUUAAAAGCUUGAUUGCUUUUGGCAUGGCAUUAUUAGUCCUGGAAGAAGGCAGCACAUUUGUAGCAAUUCUCAGCUUGAGCAAACUAGAAUAUUCACCUCCCACAAAUGCUGGCCAUUUAAGAUCUGUGUGUUAGACUUUGGCAUUUUUUCUAGCAAUUCUACAACAGCAUACACACUUUUAUUUUUCAUUAACACCAUUGUGAAUAUGCCCAUCUCUAAAAUUUCAAGGGGGUUCACUUAAGCUACUGAGUUUUAUGGACAGAAGGGCCAAGAAAAGUCCCCAAAGAAGAGUGCAUGCUGUCAAUUGCCAAUUAUUUUUUUUUCUAAUGAAAGCCAAACAAUUCCAGACAAACCCUUUUCUAAGAAAUGAACUACAUAUCUGGAUCCAAAUAAAUACUCAUCUGAUAAGAAUCUAAAAGCUCUACUGAAUUACAGUGGAUGAGAACAUGAUGAUGGUGAUUCUUUGAAGAUUACUGAGGAAAUCAACUCUCAUGUCUGAUUCUGAUACUUUUAUAGUCCAUCCAUGUUGAAAAUGUCUAUGGAAUGAUUCUGUUGUACCUUGAGAAAUGAAAUUCAUAGGCAUGGAUUCUCUCACACAGCAACUUUAUACACAAAGAUGAGAAUAGAAGAAAGGUCAUUUCCAAAGAAAGUGACAUUUAUUCUGUAUUCACUGAAAAGCCAAAAGAAUUUUCUCAUUCACCCAUACCGACAGAGCCCUACAUCUCCCCGAGAAGAGGUGAAAGAGACUGCUCCUAUCUGCUUCUGCAUCAAACUUCAGGCUCAAGACCUGUCCAGAAAAAAAAAUGUCUUCUUUCAGGGAUGAACUGCUGUCCUCAUCAGACGCCUUAUUUUGUUUAGAAUUCAAGCUCACUUGACAGGUUAUUGUGAAGAUUAAAUGAAUUAAUACAUGUGAAGCAACUGUAACAACUCUUGACAUGCGGGAAGGUGUGCCUUUGCUCCUCCUUCGCAUUCUGCCAUGAUUAUGAGGCUUCCCCAGCCAUGUGAAACCGAUCCCAUUGAGGAUGCCACAUUAUGUUUCAUUGCCAUGUCUCCAUAGACUCUUCUUGGUUGUGAUGGUUUCUCACGCUUUUCUUGGUUUUGAAGACGUUGACAAUUUUCUUCCAUUGGGAUUUGCUUGAUGCUUUUCUCAUGAUUACACUGGAACUGUGACUUUUUAGAAGGAAGAUCAUAGAGGUAAAUUUUAGAUCCACAGAACUGAGAAAGAAGUGAGAUUUCAACACUCCCAUGACUUCGAAGAUGAGCAGUGGGAAUCGCUUUUAUUUGGUGAGGUAGAACACUUUUUCAAAAACGUGACAGGAAAUGUAUAAUAAAAAGUAUUCAGCU